rnacentral:misc_RNA from 1 species
GAUGAAGAACGUAGCGAAAUGCGAUACUUGGUGUGAAUUGCAGAAUCCCGUGAACCAUCGAGUCUUUGAACGCAAGUUGCGCCCGAAGCCAUUAGACCGAGGGCACGCCUGCCUGGGUGUCACACGUCGUUGCCCCCCCAUCUACUCCUUCGGGAUUGCGGGGGGCGGAUGAUGGCCUCCCGUGCGCCUCGUCGCGCGGUUGGCAUAAAUGCCAAGUCCUCGGCGACGCACGCCACGACAAUCGGUGGUUGCGAAACCUCGGUUGCCCGUCGUGUGCGGUCGUCGCGCAUCGAGGGCUCGAAAAAAUUGCCGGGCUCCGGCUCGGCUUUCAACGCGACCCCAGGUCAGGCGGGGUUACCCGCUGAAUUUAAGCAUAUCAAUAAGCGGAGGA